CAAAAGAAUAAGUCAAUAUCAAGUUUAUGAAUAUGGUGUACGUCAGAUGAAAAAGAGAAAAAUGUCAUAAGGCCAAUGUCAUGUCUAUGAAAGCUAGCCUGCACAUGAGCAGUACUCAAAAAUAAAGAAUGACCAGACCAAAAGAGAAAUAUAAUCUAUAAUAACUCAAUCUAUAAAUUUAACUGGACAUUUCUUCAAAUCAAUUAUUAUAUGAGAUAUUAAAUAUUUAACAAUUUUUAUAAUAAUAAAAAAACACUACAAGAACAUUUAUAAUGACCAAAG
rnacentral:lncRNA from 1 species